rnacentral:misc_RNA from 1 species
UCACCAUCGGACUGAGAACACCACCCAGAUUCUUGCCAUUCGCUUUCAUCAGCGCAUGACUUUGCUCGAUCAGAUCCUGCUGGGCGGCGACGGCGCCGAUACCGAGCAGGCGGCCACGAGAACAGAACGCUUCAUUCGAUAUGUCCUUCUUUGGGGUUUAAAGUAACGUCCUCACGCAAAACGUACAUGAAUCGAUCAUUCAGGCUGCUGCCUGACAAGACCAACAAUCUUUUCGCCGGCCGGGAAUUUUUCACAAACGGUGCUGGCGACGGCUUUUCGCGAUUGCCAUCCAGACCCGCUCGGCUGUGGCGGGCAUGUCGAUGUGGUCGAUCCCGUAUUCGCGCCAGAGCCCGUCGAUAAUGGCGUUCACCACCGCGGGGCACGAACCGAUCGCUCCCGCUUCGCCCGCCCCUUUGACGCCAAGCGGAUUGGUCUUGCACGGCACAUUGUGGGUUUCGAACUUGAUGGAAGGACCAUCCGCGGCGCGUGGCAGUGCAUAAUCCAUG